GAUGAACGCUAGCUACAGGCUUAACACAUGCAAGUCGCGGGGCAGCAUGUUACUGGCUUGCCAGUAAUGAUGGCGACCGGCGCACGGGUGAGUAACACGUAUCCAACCUACCCUCCACUCGGGCAUAGCCCAUCGAAAGAUGGAUUAAUUCCCGAUGGUUUCACGAGAUUGCAUGAGAUCGUGAAUAAAGGCUUACGGUGGCGGAUGGGGAUGCGUUCCAUUAGCUUGUUGGCGGGGUAACGCCCACAAGGCAACGAUGGAUAGGGGUUCUGAGAGGAACGGUCCCCCCA
rnacentral:rRNA from 1 species